UUCGCAAUGCCCGAAAGGGUGACGAAGCGACGCCGCGUGUGGGAAGAAGGCCUUCGGGUUGUAAACCACCGUCGGGAGUUAAGAAAUGUAAGGGUGUUAAUAGCGUCCUUACUUGACUAAGGCUCCGGAGGAAGCCACGGCUAACUCUGUGCCAGCAGCCGCGGUAAUACAGAGGCGGCAAGCGUUGUUCGGAAUUAUUGGGCGUAAAGAGCACGUAGGCGGCCUUGAAAGUCAGUUGUGAAAGCCUUCUGCUUAACGGAAGAACAGCAUCUGAUACUACAGGGCUUGAGUGCGGGAGGGGAGAGUGGAACUUCUGGUGGAGCGGUGAAAUGCGUAGAUAUCAGAAGGAACGCCGGCGGCGAAAGCGGCUCUCUGGCCCGUAACUGACGCUGAGUGUGCGAAAGCUAGGGGAUCAAACGGGAUUAGAUACCCCGGUAGUCCUAGCCGUAAACGAUGGGCACUAAGUAGAGGGGUUUU
rnacentral:rRNA from 1 species